GAUGAACGCUAGCGGCAGGCCUAAUACAUGCAAGUCGAACGGGAUCUGAGGGUAGCUUGCUACCCGAUUUGAGAGUGGCGCACGGGUGCGUAACGCGUGAGCAACCUACCCAUAUCAGGGGGAUAGCCCGGAGAAAUUCGGAUUAACACCGCAUAAGAAUGUAUUAACACAUGUUAAAGCAUUUAAAUAUUUAUAGGAUAUGGAUGGGCUCGCGUGACAUUAGCUAGUUGGUGAGGUAACGGCUCACCAAGGCGACGAUGUCUAGGGGCUCUGAGAGGAGAAUCCCCCACACUGGUACUGAGACACGGACCAGACUCCUACGGGAGGCAGCAGUAAGGAAUAUUGGUCAAUGGGCGGAAGCCUGAACCAGCCAUGCCGCGUGCAGGAAGACGGCCCUAUGGGUUGUAAACUGCUUUUGCAGGGGAAUAAACCUCGAUACGUGUAUCGAGCUGAAUGUACUCUGAGAAUAAGGAUCGGCUAACUCCGUGCCAGCCGCCGCCGUAA
rnacentral:rRNA from 1 species